rnacentral:rRNA from 1 species
GACGAACGCUGGCGGCGUGCUUAACACAUGCAAGUCGAACGGAAAGGCCCUGCUUUCGUGGGGUGCUCGAGUGGCGAACGGGUGAGUAACACGUGAGUAACCUGCCCUUGACUUUGGGAUAACUUCAGGAAACUGGGGCUAAUACCGGAUAGGAGCUCCUGCUGCAUGGUGGGGGUUGGAAAGUUUCGGCGGUUGGGGAUGGACUCGCGGCUUAUCAGCUUGUUGGUGGGGUAGUGGCUUACCAAGGCUUGGACGGGUAGCCGGCCUGAGAGGGUGACCGGCCACAUUGGGACUGAGGUACGGCCCAGACUCCUACGGGAGGCAGCAGUGGGGAAUAUUGCACAAUGGGCGGAAGCCUGAUGCAGCAACGCCGCGUGCGGGAUGACGGCCUUCGGGUUGUAAACCGCUUUCGCCUGUGACGAAGCGUGAGUGACGGUAAUGGGUAAAGAAGCACCGGCUAACUACGUG